GAUGAACGCUGGCGGCGUGCCUAAUACAUGCAAGUCGAGCGAACGGACGAGAAGCUUGCUUCUCUGAUGUUAGCGGCGGACGGGUGAGUAACACGUGGAUAACCUACCUAUAAGACUGGGAUAACUUCGGGAAACCGGAGCUAAUACCGGAUAAUAUUUUGAACCGCAUGGUUCAAAAGUGAAAGACGGUCUUGCUGUCACUUAUAGAUGGAUCCGCGCUGCAUUAGCUAGUUGGUAAGGUAACGGCUUACCAAGGCAACGAUGCAUAGCCGACCUGAGAGGGUGAUCGGCCACACUGGAACUGAGACACGGUCCAGACUCCUACGGGAGGCAGCAGUAGGGAAUCUUCCGCAAUGGGCGAAAGCCUGACGGAGCAACGCCGCGUGAGUGAUGAAGGUCUUCGGAUCGUAAAACUCUGUUAUUAGGGAAGAACAUAUGUGUAAGUAACUGUGCACAUCUUGACGGAACCUAAUCAGAAAGCCACGGCUAACUACGU
rnacentral:rRNA from 1 species